GUGACCUCGGAUCAGUAGAUGCCAGUG
rnacentral:rRNA from 1 species